GACAAACGCUGGCGGCGUGCUUAACACAUGCAAGUCGAACGGUACUCCUACGGGAGUAUAGUGGCGGACGGGUGAGUAACACGUAGCUAAUCUACCCUGAUGUGGGGAAUAACCCCUCGAAAGAGGAGCUAAGACCGCAUAAGUUCUCUCUUGUUAGAGAGAGAAAGAAACUUUUGGCAGUGAAAAGCCAGAGGCGUUAGGAUGAGGCUGCGGCGGAUUAGCUAGAUGGNGGGGUAAAAGCCUACCAUGGCGACGAUCCGUAGCUGGUCUGAGAGGACGACCAGCCAUACUGGGACUGAGACACGGCCCAGACUCCGUACGGGAGCAGCAGUGAGGAAUAUUCCACAAUGGGCGCAAGCCUGAUGGAGCGACGCCGCGGU
rnacentral:rRNA from 1 species